UAGGGAAUAUUGGUCAAUGGGUGCGAGCCUGAACCAGCCAUGCCGCGUGCAGGAAGACGGCCUUCUGGGUUGUAAACUGCUUUUGUCAGGGGAUAAAAAGACCUUGCGAGGUUAAUUGAAGGUACCUGGCGAAUAAGCCACGGCUAACUACGUGCCAGCAGCCGCGGUAAUACGUAGGUGGCAAGCGUUGUCCGGAUUUAUUGGGUUUAAAGGGUGCGUAGGCGGCCUUUUAAGUCAGUGCUGAAAUAUCCCGGCUUAACCGGGAGGGUGGCAUUGAUACUGAAGGGCUUGAGUGGAGUCGAGGUAGGCGGAAUUGACGGUGUAGCGGUGAAAUGCUUAGAUAUCGUCAAGAACACCGAUAGUGAAGACAGCUUACUAGACUUCAACUGACGCUGAGGCACGAAAGUGUGGGGAUCAAA
rnacentral:rRNA from 1 species